GACGAACGCUGGCGGCGUGCCUAAUACAUGCAAGUUGAGCGCUGAAGGUUGGUACUUGUACCAACUGGAUGAGCAGCGAACGGGUGAGUAACGCGUGGGGAAUCUGCCUUUGAGCGGGGGACAACAUUUGGAAACGAAUGCUAAUACCGCAUAAAAACUUUAAACACAAGUUUUAAGUUUGAGAGAUGCAAUUGCAUCACUCAAAGAUGAUCCCGCGUUGUAUUAGCUAGUUGGUGAGGUAAAGGCUCACCGAGGCGAUGAUACAUAGCCGACCUGAGAGGGUGAUCGGCCACAUUGGGACUGAGACACGGCCCAAACUCCUACGGGAGGCAGCAGUAGGGAAUCUUCGGCAAUGGACGAAAGUCUGACCGAGCAACGCCGCGUGAGUGAAGAAGGUUUUCGGAUCGUAAAACUCUGUUGGUAGAGAAGAACGUUGGUGAGAGUGGAAAGCUCAUCAAGUGACGGUAACUACCCAGAAAGGGACGGCUAACUACGUG
rnacentral:rRNA from 1 species